UACGUAGGUGGCAAGCGUUGUUCGGAAUUAUUGGGCGUAAAGGGCGCGUAGGCGGUUUGUUAAGUCAGCUGUGAAAGCCCGGGGCUCAACCCCGGAGAGUCGACUGAUACUGGCAAACUAGAGUACGGAAGAGGUAGCUGGAAUUCCCGGUGUAGCGGUGAAAUGCGUAGAUAUCUGGAGGAACACCGGUGGCGAAGGCGGCAUCCUGGACCGGUAUUGACACUGAGGCGCGAAAGCCAGGGGAGCAAACGGG
rnacentral:rRNA from 1 species